AGGUGGGAUUAACUAGUUGGUGAGGUAAUGGCUCACCAAGGCGACGAUCCCUAGCUGGUCUGAGAGGAUGAUCAGCCACAUUGGAACUGAGACACGGUCCAGACUCCUACGGGAGGCAGCAGUGGGAAUAUUGCACAAUGGGCGCAAGCCUGAUGCAGCCAUGCCGCGUGUAUGAAGAAGGCCUUCGGGUUGUAAAGUACUUUCAGCAGUGAGGAAGGUUCAUGCGUUAAUAGCGUAUGGAUUUGACGUUAGCUGCAGAAGAAGCACCGGCUAACUCCGUGCCAGCAGCCGCGGUAAUACGGAGGGUGCGAGCGUUAAUCGUUAAAUUACUGGGCGUAAAGCGCAUGCAGGUGGUUUGUUAAGUCAGAUGUGAAAGCCCGGGGCUCAACCUCGGAACCGCAUUUGAAACUGGCAGGCUAGAGUACUGUAGAGGGGGGUAGAAUUUCAGGUGUAGCGGUGAAAUGCGUAGAGAUCUGAAGGAAUACCAGUGGCGAAGGCGGCCCCCUGGACAGAUACUGACACUCAGAUGCGAAAGCGUGGGGAGCAAACAGGAUUAGAUACCCUGGUAGUCCACGCCGUAAACGAUGUCUACUUGGAGGUUGUGGCCUUGAGCCGUGGCUUUCGGAGCUAACGCGUUAAGUAGACCGCCUGGGGAGUACGGUCGCAAGAUUAAAACUCAAAUGAAUUGACGGGGGCCCGCACAAGCGGUGGAGCAUGUGGUUUAAUUCGAUGCAACGCGAAGAACCUUACCUACUCUUGACAUCCAGAGAACUUUCCAGAGAUGGAUUGGUGCCUUCGGGAACUCUGAGACAGGUGCUGCAUGGCUGUCGUCAGCUCGUGUUGUGAAAUGUUGGGUUAAGUCCCGCAACGAGCGCAACCCUUAUCCUUGUUUGCCAGCGAGUAAUGUCGGGAACUCCAGGGAGACUGCCGGUGAUAAACCGGAGGAAGGUGGGGACGACGUCAAGUCAUCAUGGCCCUUACGAGUAGGGCUACACACGUGCUACAAUGGCGCAUACAGAGGGCGGCCAACCAGCGAUGGUGAGCGAAUCCCAAAAAGUGCGUCGUAGUCCGGAUUGGAGUCUGCAACUCGACUCCAUGAAGUCGGAAUCGCUAGUAAUCGUGAAUCAGAAUGUCACGGUGAAUACGUUCCCGGGCCUUGUACACACCGCCCGUCACACCAUGGGAGUGGGCUGCAAAAGAAGUGGGUAGUUUAACCUUUCGGGGAGGACGCUCACCACUUUGUGGUUCAUGACUGGGGUGAAGUC
rnacentral:rRNA from 1 species